AGAUUAAUGUAAAAUUGUGA
rnacentral:snRNA from 1 species